rnacentral:piRNA from 1 species
UAAGAUGGCAUUUCGUCAUGUUGAGUGACA